GUUCUGGGCCAGGAUCAGGACAUCAGCAGCCAGGUCCACGUGGAACUAAUACCAGGUUUGGGUUUCGGAUUUAAGCUCUACUAGUCCAGGGAUCAAGUAGCUGCUAUGGCUCUGUUUCAUGCCCUCUCAGCUCUCAGGAGCGUCCAGCAGCCUCAGAACUGGAGCACCAUGAUGACAGGAGGAAAAGACAGCUGGGCUGCUAAGCAGCAGCAGAGGGGACCUCACGUGUUAUAACUACACAUUUGGGUGUUGCUUUGUUUAAUGUCUGUCUCUGCCAUGAAAUGCAAGCUGUAAGGGCAGAGCCUGUGUCUUUUGCUCAUUGUUCUUUCCCAGCACCUGGAACACUGCAUGCACAUAACAGGCCCUUAAUAAAAAUUUGGUGAAUAAACACAUGAGUUAAGAACGUAUGAAUAAAUGAGCCCCCUCCUUUGAGAACUCUAAUGUCUAAUCACCAGUUGCUUCACUAAAUGUAACUCCUGGCCAGGCACGGUGGCUCACGCCUGUAAUCCCAGCACUUUGGGAGGCUGAGGUGGGCAGAUCACUUGAGGUCAGGAGUUCGAAACCAGCCUUGCCAACAUGGUGAAACCUAGUCUCUAAUAAAAAUACUAAAAACAAAAACCAAAAAACAAAAAAAAAUUAGCUGGGCAUGGUGGCAGGUGCUUGUAAUCCCAGCUACUUGGGAGGCUGAGGCAGGAGAAUCGCUUGAACCCGGGAGGCAGAGGUUGCAGUGAGCCAAGACUGCACCACUGCACUCCAGCCUGGGUGACAGAAUGAGACUCUGUCUCAAAAAAAAAAAAAAAAAAGUAACUUCUGACAUGCCAGGAAUGAAGCCUCUGCCGGUUCCCCUGAGAUCUGCUGACAGUGGUCACUGCUUAGGGGCAGAAAAGGCAGACGAGGGGCCAAACUAGGUAUAGGGAGAGCAUUUUUUCUAGAUUUCUUCCCACCAAAAUAGGGCAGAAAAGAAAAGAAGAAAUGUACAAGUUAUAAGAAAUAUUCAGAAGGUAAUAGGGCAUAAGCCCCACCUCCCCAGCCUAAGUCCUCUGGAGUCAGGGCUGGAAAACAAAGCAGAAAGGGCCUCCGGGCAGCCAAAGUUCAAACACAAAAGCUUAGGCCUUCCUCUAGAGGAAAAGGAGUCUGGGCCCUCACUGGAGCCCGCCACUGCCACCACAGGUCCUACCAGGCCCCACCGUUGGGAUUUAUGUAACAACUGCCUAACUUAGUCGCUUUUAUCACUCUAAAGAGGGGCUCCCGCCCGGAGCUGCAGCCCUCUCACAUCUUUGCCCUGGGACCCUCACUACUUCAUAAGGUAGCCCCUGGCUUUUAAUACCAUUUACUCUCUGGGAUGUAGGAUUUUGGAGUAGUUUUAAUGUCUGUGUGUAUGAGAUCUGUUUUCUACAAUUAUUAUAUAGCUCUUGUAACUCUCGUAAUUAACUUCUUACCAUAUUAAGCCCAAAUAUUCCUUUCACUGUUUCUGUGUUGGUCCUGGCUUAGCCCUGGGCCACACACAUGCUGCUUGUUUGCUUUCUCCUGUGACAGUCUUGUGACGGUCAUUCAGAUAUCUGUGCCCAGAUAUCGGCUGCCAGGUCAAAGUUCCCCCCAGUUCUAUCGACAGCCCCUCCCAUGACCCUGCAUCCAGAUCACCUGCCUCUAAAUAAUGUCAUUUUCUGGGUAGGGGGUGAGACCAUGCAUGGCCCUCCAGGAGGGGUCCAAGAGACAGUUAUUAGAGUAGAUCUCCAGAGAUACCUGCCCUUGGUGCCCUUUUGUGACUUACUUUGAGUGACAUCAGGUUCUUGAGUAAUCAACAGCAUAUUUCAACAUUCUGCAGUUUGGCCUUUAAAGACCAGAGAGUAGCUGGUGCCCAGCACGGCUAAUGCGUCCCAUCUAGCUUAUCCGAAAGGCUCCAGGAACUGGAGGGGUCCACUGGAACCUGGGGCCUCCCUGGGACCAGACCUCACCUUCUGAGACUUUAACUCCUUGGUGAGCAUCAGAACCUGUUGCUCCAAGGCUGCCACUUUCUCCUGGGCAGUUCGGUUCCGUGUGAUUCCUUCAGAAAAGAAUGGGAAGGUGUUGUUCUGGCGCUUGGCUUUCUGAGCGAAACUGAUGGUCAGAGAAGGCUUGGGUGCAGGCUUUGGAGAAUCCUCUGGCUCUCUCCCUGCUCAAGAGGAGAAACGCAGAAGUUAUGACUGAUGACAUCAGCAGUUCUCAAACCUGAGCUUGCUUUAGAAGCACCUGGAGGGCUUGUUAAAAUGCGGAUGGUUGGGCCCUAAUUUCGGAGCUCUGGAUUUAAUAGGUCUGGGGCAGGGCUUGAGAAUAUGCACUUCUAAAAAGUUCCUAGGUGAUGCUGACACAGCUUGUCCAGGGGUUAGACUGUGAGAACCACUGGCCUACAUAAACGUUAUUGCACUGUGCUGGCCCAUCUGCUAAACUGUGCCUGUCUCCUUCCUUCAGAUCCCACCCAGCCUGCAUUGGUCUAUCUCAUGCCACCCUGCUGGUGUUUGCCAAGUGGCUUUCUCCUCAGGCACAAGCCCUGGCAGGAUGUUCUGUUCCUUAUUUCAGGAUCCCACCUCUAUGUACUAGGAGAUUUUCAAAGCACACAGAUCUGUCUGAUGAUAGGAACACAAAAUGAAUGUCUGUACUCUGCAUUCUUGCUCCAGAGAGCAGCUCAAGCAUUUAACUUGAUUCUUCUUAUUCCAAGCUAAGUUAAGAGAUAUAUUUCCCCCACAGUUGAUUGUCUCAAGGAUGCAUAGUCCUUUUAUCUCCUGGGUUACAACCUAUGGUUCACAGGCCAAAUCCAGCCCACAGCCUGCUUUUACAAAUAAAGCUUUAUUAGAACACGGCCAUGCCCAUUUGUUUAUGUGCUGUCUAUUGCUGCUUUUACUCCUCAAAGGCAGAACUGAGUGCUUAAAACAGAAACCCUAUGGCCCACAAAGCCUCGAAUCGUUACUAUCUUGCUCUUUACAAAAAAUGUUUGCCACCCACUGUUUUUAAGUCAUCAAAAUUUUAUUCUUAAAUCAAACCAAACAUCAGAGAAUCAUUCCCUUGUGUUGCCUUGUCCUGCCCUGACCCAGCUGUGCUUCUGGUCUCUGCCAUCAGCCUGCAUCAAGGGACAUUUAAGGGCCUGACUAUGUAGCCAAGGGCCCUUGAGAAGCUUGUUCACAUGGGAUAUAUACAUCAUGCCUAUUAUGAGUCCCCAGCAGAAGAAAUUCCCUUCAGCCCUAGGAACUUCCAAGAAAAGCUUUGCUUCUUAUAAGAAAAUAUGUUUUUAGUCUUAUGGACACUGGAAAUAAUCUAGCUGCUUGCAUUUCCCUCUUUGCCUUGGCUGCUGAGCUUACAGCCACAUUUACUGCCUACUCUCAGAUAUUUUGUAGGAUCGUAAAUUGAUCUUAUCUAAAUCUCCUAACCAAAUUACUCAUUUGCAGGAGUAUGCAUUUUAGUAAACUAUUACCUAUUUCUUGGGACUAAAGUGUUAAAGGUGUUGAAAAUAAGAAUGUGGUAUGGCAUCCCAGGAUAGGGGACACGCAGGGCUUUGGGGAUAGGCCAAAUGACUUAGCAUGAGACCAGGCCAAGGGCUGGCCAAACAGUCUUGAACAAAUAAAGAGUUACUCCAGUAGGUGACAGGAACCAGACACUGAGUGCAAAAACAGUACCUUGCUCGGCCGGGCGUGGUGGCUCACGCCUGUAAUCCUAGGACUUUGGGAGGCUGAGGCGGGUAGAUCACUUGAAGUCAGGAGUUCGAGACCACCCGGCCAACAUGGUGAAACCCCGUUUCUACUAAAAAUACAAAAAUUAGCCAGAAAUCACUUGAACCCGGGAGGCAGAGGUUGUAGUGAGCCGAGAUCAUGCCAGUGCGCUUUAGCCUGGGCAACAGAGCGAGACUCUGACUCAAAACAAACGAACAAAACAACAGUGCCUUGCUGAGUGCAAAACCAGAACAGUCUUGUUCCAGAUCGAAGAGAAAUCAGGUUACACUGGGUACAAGGCAGCCUGCAGAGCUCAGAAAUAUGUACUACCUCUUUCUCCUUCCUGUAAUGGGGUAUAGGGGAGCAGGGAAGCUCCUUGUAGCACUGCUGCCCUCUGAUACAUGACUGUGCACCAACUCUGAGGACAGGCAGGGCAGGCCUCACAGUGCCCAGUUUAUAAUUAGAGAAAAUAAGGCCUAAGACAGUGGUGUUCAAUCAGUGCCCUGGAUUUCAUAGGAGUGCCUCAAGGGCUGACUGGGAGAGGAAGGUGGAGUAAGAGGAGCAGAGGAGGAGUCCAGACUCCAACUCCAGCCUCAACUCUGCUUUUUUUUUUUUUUUUUUUUUUUUUAAUUUGUAGCUCAUUUAGAGUCUCAAAAAGAAUUUAGGUGUUUUUUAUUAGUGUUCAAGAAACUCAUUUGUACAUAUUAGAAAAGAUUUAUUGACAUAAAAAUAAUCUUUUCCUCCAUUUAAAAAUCUGAUUACAACCACUGUUUAACACAGUGUAAACACCGUUUAACACAGUUUAACACAGUGUUGAGAUAUUCAACACUUUAUUAGAAAAUAGGUUUUGUGUUAGAUGAUUUUGCCCAAAUGUAUGUGUUCCAAGCAUGGUUAAGAUAGACUGGGCAAAACUAUACUGUUCAAUAGGUUAAGUAUAUUAAAUGCAUUUUCAACUUAUGAUAUUUUCAACUUAUGGUGGAUUUAUCUGCUUUAUAUAUUAGAUUUUGUUCUGUCACUCACUCUGUGGCCGUGAGCAAGUCACUCCACCCUUCCAUGCCUCAGUUUCCUUAUUAAUCUAAUGAGGAUAACAACAAUAUAUACAAUAUAUACAGUUCCAGUUGCUGUAAGAAUUAAAUAGGUCAAGGUAGGUAAAGUGCUUGGUACACACAGAUGAAACUUGAAAAGAUUCUACUAAGUCAAAGAAGCCAGUCACAGCAUGGUAUAUUCCUUGGUAUAUUCCACUCACAGCAGAUGUCGAGAACAGGCACAGCCAUAGAGAAAGAAAGAUGAGUGGCCACCUAGGGUUAUGGGGCAGUGGGGAUUAAGGUUGAUGACUAAGGGUGCAGGUUUCUUUUUGGGGUAAUAAAAAUGUUCUAAAAUUGAUUAUAGUGACGGCUGCAUAAUUCUGAGGAUAUACAGAAAGCCACUGAAUUACACAUUUUAAAUGGGUGAAUUGUAUAGUACAUGAAUAUAUCUUAAUAAAGUUGUUGCCAAAAAAAAUGCUUACUGCCGCACUGGCAUGAAGUAACUGCUAGUGUUAUGAUGAUGGUGACUCAUCCGAUAUAGCACUGGCCUUCUCUUGGACUGCUUGUUGUGCUCUCUAGGGCUCUGCCAGGCACUGACUGCUCCAAAGGGUGCUUUUUCUUUUCUUCUUUCUCUUUUUCUGUUUUUUUUUUUGACAGUGUCUCACUCUGUCACCCAUGCAUGAUCACGGCUCACUGCAGCCUCGACCUCCCUGGCUCAAGUGAUCCUCCCAGCUGAGCAUCCCAAGUAGCUGGGACUACAGGCUUGCACCAUGAUCAGCUAAUUUUUUUAUUUUUUUGUAAAGACAGGGUCUCCCUGUGUUGCCCAGGCUUGUCUUGAACUCCUGGGCUCAAGCAAUCCUCCAGCCUUGGCCUCCCAAAGUGCUGGGAUUACAAGCGUGAGCCACCAUGCCCAGCCUCUUCUUAAUUUUUUACUCUGAAAAAAUUAUAGACUCACAGGAAGUUGCAAAGAUAGUGCAGACAUGUCCCAAGUACUCUUCACCAAGCUUCCCCUGAUGGUGACAUCUUACAUAGCUAUAGUACACUAUCAACUCUAGGAAACUGGUGUUGGUACAAUAUGUGUGUAUAGGUCUAUGCCAUUUUAUCACAUGUGUACAUUUGUUUUUGGUUUUGUUUGAGACGGAGUCUCACUCUGUCACCCAGGCUGGAGUGCUGUGGUGCAAUCUCGACUCACUACAACCUCUGCCUCCCAGGUUCAAGUGGUUCUCCUGCCUCAGCCUCCUGAGUAGCUGGAAUUGUAGGCACUGGCCACCAUGCCCAGCUAACUUUUGUAUUUUUAGUAGCGUGGUGGUAUUAACAGGUGGGGCCCUUGGGAGGUGAUCAGAUUUAAUGUCAUGAGGGUGGAGCCCCUGAUAAGAUCAGUACCCUUAGAAUAAGCAGCAGAGACCAGAGCUCUUUCGGCCACGUGAACACACAGUGAGAAGGUGGCCAUCUAUCUGCAAGCCAGGAAGGGAGCCCUCACCACACAUUGAAUCUGCCGGCACCUUGAUCUUGGACCUCCCAGCUUCCACACAACUGUGAGAAAUAAGUAUCUGUUAUUUAAGCCACGCAGUCUAUGGUGUUUCAGUAAGUAGCCCAAGCCAACUAAGACACACACAAAAGCACAAAUGCUGGUUCGCUGGAAGGAAAGAAGGCACUUGUGCCAGCCGUGAGGAGCUGGUCCCUGAAGGCAGCUCAGCCCUGGACAGAGGCUCACCUGGGGUGCUGGCGUCAGAGGCCAAGGGCUGCUCCUCCCUCUGAGGCUCCCCACUCUGUGGAGAAUCUUCCCCUGGAGGUUCAUGGCCUGUUCCCUGGGCCUGCUUGUUGCCACGGAUGUUGUGCAUUGUGUUCCUGAAAGGAGACAAGAACAGAGGAGCAUGAGGCUGAACCCUGCCUUUCUGCCCUUCUGUCCUUCCCGCCACCACUGCUGGAGCUCAGGUCUCAUCCCCACACCCUGUCAUCCUGACUGGUCUCCCAGACUCCAGGCACCCUACAUGAUGCCUCCCCAUGCAUGGCACUCCCAAUCUCCUUUACCUAUCUCUUUCGCAUUCUCAUCUUCCACACACUAUGUGGCUUAUAAGUAAUACAAGCUUGACUUCCUUAACCCCCACCCCUGCAGCUGGAAUAUAAAUGCCAUGAGGCGGAGGUAUUGUCCGUUUUGUUAACUGAUGCACCUACAAUGCCUAAACGGUGCCCAAAACAUAGAAGGUGCUUAAUAUGGGUGUGUUGAGUGAAUGCUGAAUGGACUUGCUGAACCAACUUUCCCGAAACCUUCAUCUGGUUUCAUAACUAUCUGGCUCAAAAACCAUCAGUGGCUCCCGACUUCUGCUGAGAUAAGUUGCAAACAUCUCCUGGCAUCUUUCCCUGCUUGCUCUCUUUCCCUGCUCAGAUCUGUCCUCUGUGCAGCCUUCACUGACCAUCUCAUGGCCUCCAAGGGGCUUAGUGUACUUCGCAGCGGGGUCACCCUUUGGCCAAGUACUUGUCUAGGCUGAAGCCUCAUGAUGUCAUUUCUUUAAGAACCGGGUACUAACCUACCUGCAUGUUUGCUGGUGCCCAACACUGGGUUGUACAUGCCAGAGACCGGGCUCAAUACAUGUUUGGUUUAUAGAAGGGAACUAGAUAGUACCAAAGGCUGACCUAAGAUCACAGACCACAGAGAAGUUCAUAAUGAGCUGGAUGUAAAAACAGUUCAAGGAGUUUAUUUUCCCUUGCAAAGAGAUAAGAUUAAUGACAGGGAGGGAAAAUGAUGAAAGGAGUUCACUAGGUCAGUGUAUUUCGAACUGAAAGUUCCCACUCAUUGGUAGAUUGUAAAAUCAGUUUAGUGUCAUGACCAGCAUUUAAAAAAUGAAAUAGAAACUAUCAGGGCUGCUGCCACCUGCCUGCAUCCACCUGUGUUGCAUCGGAAUCCUGAGGAGCUGUUGGGUGGUCCAGACCAAGGCUGGCUCGUGUGGAAGUCAUCCUUGCCUCUGUUUGCCGACCCUCCCAUCCAUCCUGUCUCCCAGUGGUCGUCAUGCGGCGCACAUCUCCUGCCUGCUGUACUAGUUCCAUUUGCUCUUUUGGAAGCAGGAGCUAGAACUGACGCUUGUGGGGCUACAGGACUUAGGCCAAGACCAGCUUUGUGAAUAUCACUGCGUCAGGUCAAUUUAGUGAAAACAUGAUACCCACAGUGAGCUUCGACACGAGGAAAGUAACUAAAGGUAACAUCACAGUAAAGAUCUGGGAUAUGGCUGGGCACGGUGGCUCACGCCUGUAAUCCCAGCACUUUGGGAGGCUGAGGUGGGUGGCUCACGAGGUCAGGAGUUCAAGACCAGCCUGGCCAGGAUGGUGAAACCCCGUCUCUACUAAAAAUACAAAAAUUAGCCGGGCGUGGUGGCGCAUGCCUGUAGUCCCAGCUACUCGGGAGGCUGAGGCAGAGAAUCGCUUGAACCCGGGAGGCGGAGGUUGCAGUGAGCUGAGAUUACGCCACUGCACCUCCAGCCUGGACGACAGAGCGAGACUCCAUUUCAAAAAAAAAAAAGAUCUGGGACAUAGGAGGACAACCCCAAUUUCGGAGCAUGUAGGAACUAUAUUGCUUAGGAGUCAACGCUAUUGUUUACAUAACAGAUGGUGCAGAUCGUGAGAAGAUAGAGGCCUUGAGAAAUGAGCUACGUAAUCUAGAUAAACCACAGUUACAAGGAAUUCCAGUGCUAGUACUUGGAAGCAAGAGAGAGAUCUUUCUAAUGCCUUGGAUGAGAAACAGCUAAUUGAAAAAAUGAAUGUCUGCUAUUCAGGAUAAAGAAAUGUGCUACUAUUCAAUUUUUUGCAAAGAAAAGGAUAAUGUAGGUAUCACACUUCAAUGAUUUAUUCGACAUUCAAAAUCUAGAAGCUGAAGCAUCUCCUGAAGUCUUCCAAUCCUUCUCAGCUAUAAUCCUAGAAUUAUUGUCUGUUUCUCUAAAGCACUUCCCAAAAUACGGUCCUUCCUAACCCCAAUAAAUUGUCUUUUUCAGAGUUUAUUUCUCAUGUGCAUUGCUGAAGAUGUGUAUCCCUAAUCCUUCAUAAGAAUCAGCAAGUUGUCGGCUGGGCACGGUGGCUCACGCCUGUAAUCCCAGCACUUUGGGAGGCUGAGGUGGGCAGAUCACGAGGUCAGGAGUUCGAGACCAUCCUGGCUAACACGGUGAAACCCUGUCUCUACCUAAAAUACAAAAAAAUUAGCCAUGUGUGGUGGCGGGCACCUGUAAUCCCGGCUACUUGGGAGGCUGAGGCAGGAGAAUGGCAUGAACCUGGGAGGUGGAGCUUGCAGUGAGCCGAGAAAGCGCCACCUGUACUCCAGCCUGGGUGACAGAGUGAGACUCCAUCUCAAAAGAGGAAAAAAAAAAAUCAGGGAGUUGUCAUGAUCAAGUCAGCACAUACAAAACAUACACAUAUCUUACACAUACUUGUCUUAAACUGUAUAGAGCUUUUUAAAAUUUUAUUUAUUAAAAAAAAACAAUUGACCAUCUUAACUCAAGAAGAUUGCAUAUUUCCAUCCUGGUCUUUCUGGGCCAGAUUUUUGUUGUUGUUGUUUGAGAUGGAGUCUCACUCUGUCACCCAGGCUGGAGUGCAAUGGCACGAUCUCGGCUCACUGCAACCUCCACCUCCCAGGCUCAAGCGAUUCUCCUGCCUCAGCCUGCCGAGUAGCUGGGAUUAUAGGUGCCCACCACCACACACAGCUAAUUUUGUAUUUUUAGUAGAGACAGGGUUUUGCCGUUUUGGUCAGGCUGGUCUCAAACUCCUGACUUCAGGUGAUCCACCCGCCUUGGCUUCCCAAAGUUCUGGGAUUACAGGCAUGAGCCACCGUGCCUGGUCUGGGCCAGAUUUUUAUAUUGGUUUUCAGUAAAUGUUUAUCUAUAACAUUUCAUUAUAGAGUCCAGUAGCUUGAUACUGAUACUGACUUGAUACAGCAUGAAGUUUCUAGUGCCACACACAGUUUUUAGAAAACCUUUAAGCCUGGCUCAUGUGGGAUAUAAACAUAAUGUUUAUCUUAUCUCACAAAUGUAUGUGAAAUGUAUAAUUACACCUUAGGAAUCCAAAAAUGGUCUGCAAAGAGUGAGCGGAGGCACCAGAUCAAUGUUGUUGGUUCUUUACACUGGUGAGAUUCUACUUGAUGAGUAUUAAAAACACUGCUUUCUGAGAAUUCUUUAUCACAAAAUAGCAGUUGGGGAUAUGGGAGGAACUAAGGCAUGCUUUGUAUCUGUGUAGAUCAUUACUUCCAUUUUUUUUUUUUUUCCUCAUUCAAAAUACUUUUCAUGGGGUUGGGAAUUGAUUAUUUCUCCAAAGCUUUUAUGAAUUUAAAGCAUGCCAGUUAAGAUAAUAAAAUCUGUUAAGAAUGUCAGACUUUGGCCGGGUGCAGUGGCUCACGCCUGUAAUCUCAGCACCUUGGGAGGUCAAGGCGAGUGGAUUGCUUGAGGCCAGGAGCUCGAGACCAGCCUGGCCAACAUAGUGAAACUCCGUCUUUACUAAAAAUACCAAAGUUAACCAGGCGUAGUGGCUCAUGCCUGUAAUCCCAGCUUCUCGGGAGGCUGAGGCAGGAGAGUUGCUGAAUGUCACUUGAACUGGGAAGGCAGAGGUUGCAGUGAGUGGAGAUUGCGCCACUGCACUCUAGUCUGGGUGACAGAGCAAGACUGUCUCAAAAAAAAAAAAAGAAAAAAAAGAAAGUCAGGCUUUGCUGAAAAAAAAGAAAGAAAAUAUCAGAGUGCACCCCACUUAGUGCACCUUGCAACAGCACCACUGUCUGGAUUACUAUAGCUUUGUAGUAGUGUUGAUAUUGGGAAGAGUGCGUCUUCAAACUUUUUUUUUCUUUUUUUUUUUGAGAUAGAGUCUUGCUCUGUCGCCCAGGCUGGAGUGCAGUGGCACGAUCUCGGCUCACUGCAACCUCCACCUCCCAGAUUCAAGCGAUUCUCCUGCCUCAGCCUCCUGAGUAGCUGGGAUUACAGGCGUGCACCACCAUGCCCGGCUAAUUUUUUUUGUAUUUUUAGUAGAGACGGGGCAAACUUUUUUUAUUCUUCAAGAUUAUUUUGGGUACUCUGGGGCUCUUGAAUUUCCAGGAUCUUGAAUUUUAGGUUUAACUUGUUAAUUUCUGUAAGGAAGCCACCAGAAUUUUGAUGGUGAUUAUAUUGAAUCUGUAGAUCAAUUUGGGAAGUAUUGUCAGAUUAAUAGGUUAACAAUAUUAAGUCUUUUUUUUUUCUUUUUUUUCUUUUUUUUUUUUGAGACAGAGUCUCACUCUGUUGCCCAGGCUGGAGUGCAGUGGCACAAUCAUGGCUCACUGCAGUCUCUGCCUCCCGGGUUCAAGCGAUUCUCCUGCCUCAGCCUCCCAAGUAGCUAGGAUUACAGGAAUGUGCUACCAUGCCCAGCUAAUUUUUGUAUUUUUAGUAGAGACGGGAUUUUACCAUGUUAGCUAGGCUGGUCUUGAACUCCUGACCUCAAGUGAUCUGCCCACCUUGGCCUCCUAAAGUGUUGGGAUUACAGGCGUGAGCCCCUGCGCUCAGCCUAGCAAUAUUAAGUCUUUUGAUUCAUGAACAUGAGAUAUCUUUCCAGCUACUUAAGCCCUUUUUUUCAACAAUGUUUGGUGUUUUCAGAGCACACAUUUUGCAUCAUUAUGUCAAAUUCAUUCCUAAAUAUUUAAUUCUUUUUCUAAUAUUGUUAUGGAAUGUUUUCUUAAUUUUAUUUUUGGGUUGUUUAUUACAGGUGUAUAGAAAUACAACUGAUAUUUCUAUAUUGAUCUUGAAUCCUGCAACCUUGCUGAACUAAUUUCUUAGCUCUAAUAGUUUUUCCUUAGGAUUUUCUGUAAACAAAUAUCAUGUCAACUGCAAAUAAAGAUAGUUUUACUUUUUUCCUUCCCAAUCUGGAUGCCUAAUUUCAUGUUCUUGCCUAAUUGGCCUGGCUAAAGCCUCCAGAACAAUGUUGAAUAUUCCUGAUUUUAAGGGGAAAAUAUUCAGUCUUUUACCAUUAAGUAUGUUAGCUUUGCAUUUUUCAUUGAUUCCCUUUAUCAAGCUGGGGAAGUUUCGUUCUACUUGUUUUUUUUGUUUUUUGUUUUUUGUUUUCUGAGACGGAGCUGCUCUGUCGCCCAGGCUGGAGUGUAGUGGUACAACCUCCGCCUCCUGGGUUCAAGCAAUUCUCCUGCCUCAGCCUCCCAAGUAGCUGGGACUACAGGCCUGUACCACCAUGGCCGGCUAAUUUUUGUAUUUUUAGUAGAGAUGGGAUUUCACCAUAUUGGCCAGGCUGGUCUCAAACUCCUGACCUCAGGUGAUCCACCCACCUCAGCCUCCCAAAGUGCUGGGAUUGCAGGCAUGAGCCACUGUGCCUGGCCUCCUUCUAGACUUUUAAAAAAAUUAUUUAUUUAUUUAUUUAUUACUAUUAUUUAGAGACAGUGUCUCACUCUGUCACCCAGGCUGAAGUGUGGUGGCAUGCUCAUAGCUUACUGCAGUCUUGACCUCCUGGGCUCAAGUGAUCCUUCCACCUCAGCCUACACAGUAGGUGGGACUACAGGUGUGUGCCACCACACCCAGCUAAUUUUUUGUAGAGAUGGGGUUCACUACAAUUUUUUGUAGGCUGGUCUCAAACUCCUGGCCUCAACCAAUCCUCCCACCUUGUCCUCCCCAAGUUCCGGGUUUACAGGCAAGAUCCACUGCGCCUGGCCCUUUCCAGUCUUUGUGAGAGGUUUUAUCACAAAGAGAUGUUGAAUAUUGUCAAAUGCUUUUUCUCAGUCUACUGAAAUGAUGUGGUUUUUCACCUUCUUCUUAUUAAUGUAGUGUAUUACAUAAAUUGAAUUUCAGAUGUGAAACCAACCAUGUAUUCCUAAGAUAAAUCCUACUUUAUCGUGGAUUAAUCCUUUUUAUAUGCUGCUGAAUUCAGUUCGCUAGUAUUUUGUUGAGAAUUUUUACAUCUGCCUUCAUAAGGGAUAUUGGUCUGUAUCUUUCUUAUGAUGUCUUUGUUUGGUUUUGGUAUCAGAAUAAUAUCAGUCUUAUAAAAUGAGUUGGGGGAUGUGUCCCCUCCUCUUUUAUAUUUUGGAAGAAUCUGUGAAGAAUUGGUAUUAAUUUUUCUUUAAAUAUUUGGUGGACUUCACCAGUGAAGUCAUUUGGUCCUGAGUUUUUCUUCAUGUGUAGUUAUUUAUUUAUUUAUUUUACUAAUUCAAUCUCUACGAUGUAAUUAGGUCUUUUUAGAUUUUCUUCUUGCGUAUAUUUUAGUAAAUGUGUCUUUCUAGGAAUUUGUCCAUUUUCAUCUAAGUUAUCAAAUUUGUUGGCACAUAGUUGUUCAUAGUAUUCCUCAUAUAAUCCUUUUUGUUUCUGUAAGGUUGGUAGCAAUGCUCUCUUUUGUUCUUGACUUUAGUAAUUUGAGUUUUCUCUCUUUUCUCAGUCUGCCUAGCUAAAGGUUUGUCAACUUUGUUGCUCUUUUCAAAGAAUCUCUAUUGAUCUCAAACUUAGUUUAAAACAAGAUCCAGGUGUGUUUGUGUGGUGUGUGUGUGUGUGUGUGUGUGUGUGUUUUGUAUAGUUGGGCCCAGAAUAAGAAAAUAAUGAGAUUAUACUUUCAUGGAUAGUACAGCUGAGUGACAGAAGGAAAAAUUCAUCGGUUGAAUUAAGAGCAGAGAAGAAAUUAGAACUCAGCACUCCCAAUACCUGAUCUUUUGCUGUAAUUACUAUGGUGUCCUGUUAUAAGGAGAGCCCCUGGCUCCUUGGCCUAGUGACUUCCCUUUCCCAGUCUUGCCUUCCCCAUCUGAAAAUACAAGAAUGUAGUUCCAUUGAAGAGAAUCAUGAUGAUCAUGAUAGGCACUACUAUUUACUGAGCAUCACUUUAUGCUGGGUCCUGUGCUGAGCCCUGUUACAUGGAUUUCACAAACCACAAGUCACAUGAGUUGGAGAGGGACACAGGGCCAUAUCCCUAUAGCUAGAGGCACUGGCUAGGUGGGGUAAUCAUCACUGCUGCCCACACUUUAACCAGGAACUGCUCCCUCCCUGACAUGUCCUGGGUCUGAUAAGCAGUCACCCCUGGGGUGUGGGAAAGCACAGAAACCACAACUUUAGGGCAGCGAAAGGCCUUCUAAGCCCUAGCACACAUCUCUGGGAAUGGGAAGCUCGCUACCUUCUGAAAUGGUCCGGCUGGUCACCACCCAGCUAAACCACUAUGCUUGGAAGAGCUGUUUCCAUUUCAUAAAUUUAUCAACUUUGCUUGGAGCAGUUCAUGGACCAUUUUCUGUUUAGGUUUAAUUCCAGGUCUGCAAGGCCUGGCCAGCAUGGGAGUGGUGAUCCUAAAGACUUGUUCUGAAAGGAUAACCUUGGGAAAGCUAGUUAUCCUCCCUGAGCCUCAGUUUCCUCAUCUGCAAUGGGGAUGUCAAACAUAUCCAUAAUGAACACUGGAUGGACCCUUCCAUGGCUCAAAUUCUAAGUGAAACACUAUGAUGCAUUCCACUCACUUAAUCCUCCCAAGACCAAUGAAGUAAAUACUAUUCUCACCCUCAUUGGACAGAGAGAACUGAGAUUCAAAGAGGAUAAGUAACCAAAACUACAGAGCAAGUAGGCAGUGGGGCUGAGCAGCCCUGGAUGUCUAACUCCAUGGUUUGAGGACUUAACCAUGUGAUGAUACCACUUCACAGGUUUGUCUAGAGAACUCGAGAGCAUAAAGCACCCAACACAGUGCUCAGGAAGCUCCCUACCCCCUUCCCUGAGUAUGACCCGGGUUCAUGGCAGCACCAACAGUGAGUUCCAAGACCAGCCAGAGCACAAGGGUGUAGGACACAAAGGCAGCUCUCAUCUCACCAAGUAGUCUGGGGCUCUCAGCAGCCCAGGGCACUUCUCUUGCAAAGUAGCCUGGCAUUUUCUGUGGGCCAAGACAAGUUACAGGAGGGAAGUUGCUCUAUGACCCUCUGAAGCUUCCUUCCUUUCUUGGUCUCUGCAUUUUCUAUGUUCUGCUUCUGCUGCUGUGGCCUCUAUCAGGCAUGGACUCAGUUUAAUAUUGGUGAGACUGCCCUGGGUGCAUGCUGGCUGGAUAGCUGGACUUCUCAGGCCCCCUCUCUACCCCAGCAUGCUCCCAAUGCACCCAGUUCCCUGUAGCUCCUCCCAACAGGUGAUCUCCUGCAGGGUGCCCUCCACAUCCACUCACCCUGGAGGGCUCAACCAUGCCCUAUACCCAUCAAGCCUCUCUCUCAAGCUUAGAUCUCUCUCCUGGGCUCCAGGUCAUUCCAUCCAAAUGCCUGUGGGGGAGCUCUACCUCCAGCCAGCAGACCCCAAAGAACACUCAUUGUCUUUUCCCUAAAACCUGAUUCUCUCCUGGAAAGGACGUCACCACCCUCCUAGUCACUCAAGCAAAUUCAGACUCUGAAGCCAGCAGAGGGAAAUACUCUGCCUGAGUCACACAGAACCAGGGGUCCCUUAUCAAAGUCCCGUGAGCAAUCUAUUUUGCCUUCUAAGAGCUCUAAGUUCAUCUGAAGUCCACAUGGAACACAAAUGCCCAGGCUGGGCGUGGUGGCUCACGUCUGUAAUCCCAGCACUUUGGGAGGCCGAGGUGGGCAAACCACGAGGUCAGGAGUUUGAGACCAGCCUGGCCAACAUAGUGAAAUCCCAUCUCUACUAAAAAUACAAAAAGUCAGCCGGGCGUGGUGGUGGGUGCCUGUAAUCCUAGCUGCUAUGGAAGCUGAGGCAGGAGAAUCACUUGAACACGGGAAGCAGAGGUUGCAGCGAGCUGAGAUCGCGCCACUGCUCUCCAGCCCGGGCAACAGUGCAAGACUCCAUCUCCAAAAAAAAAAAAAAAAGAAAAGAAGAAAAGAAAAGAAAAGAAACGCCCAAACAGGAUCACUAUUGGAUAUAGUUUGAAUUCCUGAAAGUUUCCAUCCCUUCAACUAGAGUAACAAUAGCAGCAGCAGCUAAUAUGCAUUUCAUGCUUAAGACUGCCAAGCACAGUUCUAAAGCAGGCUGCAUGCAUUAAACGAUUUAAUUACCAUGCUAAGCUUAUAAGGCAAGCGCUGUUGUAUUUACAUUUACUAACAAGGUAAGAAAAGCAUUGAGAAACAACUUGCCAACAGCAGCACAGCCAUGACUGGUGGAGCCAGGAUACAAACCCAGGCAGUUUGCUUCCAAAGCCCAGGCCACACUGCUGCCUUUUUUUUUUUUUUUUUUUUUUUUUUUGAGACAGGGUCUCACUCUGUUGCUCAGGCUAGGAUGAAGUGGUAUGAUCAUGGCUUACUGCAGCCUUGACUUCCUGGGCUUGGGAUUACAGGCACAUGCCACUAUGCCUGGCUAACUUCAUUUUACUUAUUGUAGAGGCAGGGUCUCAGAAGUUGCCCAGGCUGGUUUUGAACUCCUGGCCUCAAGUGAUCCUCCUGUCUUGGCCUCCCAAAGUGUUGCAAUUACAGGCAUGAACCACGACGCCUGGUCCAUACUGCUACCUUCUUAGAAAUUAUCUAAAACAAAGCCUGACAAUAGUAAGGUAUAUAUAUAUAAUAUAUUAUUAAAUAACAAAGUAGUUGAGAUAUGAUUGACACAAUAAAUUGCACAAGUUAAAAAUGAGUAAUUUGAUGCUUUUGACAUGUAUAGACAUUUGUGAAACCAUCACUACAUCACAUUCAAUAUGAUCUCAUUUAUGCAAUAUGUAUAUAGAAAAUGUAGAGGAAAGAAAUAUACCAAAUGCUAAGAAUAUUUGUCUGGGUGGUAGGAUUAUGGAUAAUUAAAAAAAAUACUUUACUUAUAAUCAAGUGAUCCUCCUGCUCCAGCCUCCCUAGUAGCUGGGACUACAGGCUGUGAGCCACCUCGUCCAGUGGGUAAUUUUUUAUACCCUUCCAGAUGUUUCUGAUUUCCUAUAAUGAACAUGUACCACUUUUCCAAUGAAUGUAUUUUUUUUUUUUUUUUUUUGAGACAGAGUCUCACUCUUGUCGCCCAGGCUGGAGUGCAAUGGUGCAAUCUCGGCUCACUGCAACCUCUGCCUCCUGGGUUCAAGCGAUUCUCCUGCCUCAGCCUCCUGAGUAGCUGGGAUUAUAGGCACCUGCCACCAUGCCCGGCUAAUUACUGUAUUUUUAGUAGAGAAGGGGUUUCGCUAUGUUGGCCAGGCUGGUCUCGAACUCCUGACCUCCAGUGAUCCGCCCACCUCGGCCUCCCAAAGUGCUGGGGUUAUAGGCAUAAGCCACCACACCCGGCCAAAUGUAAUAUUUUAAAGUGAUGAUGUGAUUAAUUGAAAAUAAAGCCCAUAACCCUCUCCCGGGGCCCAUCUCCCUGCAGGAGAAUCACAGUGGGUCAAGCUCCACUGAAGGGGCUGCCUGCAGCUUGGCUAGCCCCUCAGCUCCACUGGCACUUACUGUAUUUCAGUCCCCAGGUGCUUGAGGGAAAUAUUCUGAAGGGCAGGGAAGGGCUGCAAGGCAGCUGCCACGCCCACUAGCCCAGGGGGUGUUUUCACAGGGCACAGGAACUCCUCCAGCUCUGCCUCUUCUUGCCCUGGGAACAAAGAAAAGGGAAAUCCAUCAGCUGGGUCACUGCACUUGGAAAGACAGGUCAGGUGGGAUGCUAUGGGUGCAGCCCUGACUGGGAACAGGCUGGAGUUGGAGAGUUGCAGGGGCAAGCAGGCCCUCCCUGUAGGUUAACAGCAGCAAAAUAGGCUUUUCACAAAAUGUUCUGCAGCCAGUAAAAUGAUGCAUUUUGCUGGUACAGCCCUCCUGCAAACCCCUUAAAAAUAUGCAGACCUGGCUGGGAGCGGUGGCUCAUGCCUGUAAUCUCAGCAAUUUGGGAGGCUGAGAUGGGCGGAUCACCUGAGGUGGGGAGUUAAGAAACCAGCCUGACCAACAUGAAGAAACCCUGUCUCUACUAAAAACACAAAAUUAGCCAGGCGUGGUGGCGCAUUCUUGCAAUCCCAGCUACUCAGGAGGCUGAGGCAGGAGAAUCGCUUGAACCUGGGUGGCGGAGGUUGCAGUGGGCCGAGAUCGCGCCAUUGCACUCCAGCCUGGGCAACAAGAGUGAAACUCCGUCUCAAAAAAAAAAAAAAAAAAAAAAAAGGCAGACCUACAGUUAAUUCUACAUCUGAGAGUCCAUCCUAAAGAUGGAAGUGCAGACAAAACUUUAUGUGCCAAGAGGUUCGUUCCUUCUAGCAUUGUCACAAUAGCCUCAAGUUGGAAAAGAUCUAAAAACUUGGGAAUAGGUUAAGUAUAUCAGAAUGUCUUCAUAUGACGGAAUAUUAAUCAUUCAAAACAAUGUGAAUAAAUACUUAUAAACAGGGAAACCUGUAUGGAAUAUAAUAUUAAGUGGAAAAAGCCAGAUUAAAAAAAAAUUGGGCCGGGCGCAGUGGCUCACACCUGUAAUCCCAGCACUUUGGGAGGCUGAGGCAGGCAGAUCAUGAGGUCAGGAGAUCGAGACUGUCCUGGCUAACACGGUGAAACCCCAUCUCUACUAAAAAUACAAAAAAUUAGCCAGGCAUGGUUGCAGGCGCCUGUAGUCCCAGCUACUUGGGAGGCUGAGGCAGGAGAAUGGCCUCAACCCAGGAGGCGGAGCUUGCAGUGAGCCUAGAUCGUGCCACUGCACUUCAGCCUGGGCGACAGAGUGAGACUCCAUCUCAAAAAACAAAACAAAGAAACAAAACAAAAACAAACAAAAAAUUGGAAGGCUGGAUGUUGUGGCUCACACCUGUAAUCCCGCCACUUUGGGAGGCUGAGCUGGGUGGGUCACUUGAGCUGAAAGUUUGAGACCACCUGAGCAGCAUGGCAAAACCCCAUCUCUACAAAAAACAGAAAAAUUAGCUGAGUGUGGUGGUGCGUGCCUAUAGUCCCAGCUACUUGGGAGGCUGAGGUGGGUGGAUCACUUGAGCCCAGGAGGUGGAGGUUGCAGUGAGCGGAGAUGGUGCCACUGCAUUCCAGCCUGGGCAACAGAGUAAGACCCCGCCUCAAAAGAAAAAAAAAAUUGGGGUUAUAGUGUAAUCUCAAUUGUACAGAAAAAGUCUCAAAGAAAUAUACUCCGCAAUCUUAACAGUGGUUUGAGCUGCGUGAUGGGAUUUGCAGUGAGCAGGCUAUUCUCAUUGUAUUUUACUGUUUUUUUUCCAAAUUUUCUACAAUAAACAUGGGUUACUUUAUAAACAGAAAAAGAAUAUGUAUUUAUCAAAAAUAGAUGUUUAUACAGAGAUUUUAAAAACACACGCAAAUAUUAGGGUCACACUACUGAGUAUCAAAAAACAAAGUAGGACAUUUUAUAUUAUUAUAUGAUCUGAAAUGUGUUUAAAUAAAAGGCAGGCAGGAGGUCAUAACAUAAGGUUAAUACUGGCUGCCUCUGGGUGAUAGGAUUACAGGUUCUUUUUCUUUUUAGUCUUCCAAAUGUUCUGUUUAAACAAUGAUUCUUCUACAGUGAGUGACUUGAAAAUGUUUAAUGUUAAGCAAGCUUUCAAGGCCAAGGAAAUUAUGUGAAGUAUAAGAGAGGGGAGGUGAAAUAUUUAGAAAUUAACUUUGAGUGUUAGAAAAAGGAGAAAAGAGCCAGGACCACUUAUGGGUUGGUAUGAGCUUGAUUAGACAGCCCCUGAGACCUACCAGGGCAGCAGACACUUUCCACUUGGAGCCCUCUUACUGGGAGACUGAAACAUUUAGGAGCGGAGAUUUGUUUUUGCACUAUAUCUGCAAAAAGGGUGUGGGUAUAAAAAUAUUAAAUAUAAUGAUGGGGGUCAGGGGGAGCUGUUCAACCUACCUAAGAAAAGAAACUUAGCAGUAGUUCAAACAACAGACAGUGUAUUUGUAAAUUCCUAACAGGCUCCAUCAGAUCUGGCAGGUAGGCCAGCACUCACACUCCUCAAAUGCGAGAUCUUUGAGGCCCUCCCUUCCAUGAAUCCUCUCACCAAACACAGACUGGGUGUUUACCCUGAGGCUUGUGAGUGGGGCUGGAGAAAGUGAGAAGAAUAAAAGCAGAAACUCAAAGCCUAAGGAGCAGGGAAGGGGAAAAAGUGCACACCUGGGGUCAGGUGCUGGGGUAGGGGCAGUUCUGGGAGGUGGAGACAGAGUCUUUCCAACCCAGGUCAGGGGAAACUUCCUGGAGGAGGGGCACUGCAGCUGGGCCUUAAGGACUGGGGUUGAUUUGAAUCUGCAGGAGGAACCAGGAAAGAUCUUCCUAUGCCAAGCAUACAGGCAACAGUAAGGGGUUUCAGACCCAGAGCUGAGUUUGCGGGGAGGAAGCUGGGAAGAUGGGGUGGGGAAGGCCAAACAGAAAGGGGUGUGGGUAAGUGGUUGGAUCUCAUCACGAUGGAAACCAGAGCUCCUAGGGGUUUGAGCAGGAGGCUGAAGAACCAAACCUGGCUUUGGGUAGAAGAUCUGUAGCUGGGCCCUGUUUCCAUGGGGAGGGUGUUGCGACCUGGUUGCAAAUCAGUAAAAAAAAAAAAAAAUCAAGGGCCGGGCGCAGUGGCUCAUGCCUGUAAUCCCAGCACUUUGGGAGGCCAAGGCAGGCAGAUCACCUGAGGUCAGGAGUUCAAGAUCAGCCUGGCCAACGUGGGGAAACCCAUCUCUACUAAAAAUACAAAAACAAACUGGGCGUGGUGACGUGUGCCUGUAGUCCCAGCUACUUGGGAGGCUGAGGCAGGAGAAUCGCUCGAACCUGGGAGGCGGAGGUUGCAGUGAGCCGAGAUCACACCACUGCAUUCCAGCAGCCUGUGUGACAGGGCGAGACUCCGUCUCAAAAAAAAAAAACAAAAACAAACACAAACAAACAAAAAAAAAAACAAGAAGGAUACUCUCUACCUUGUCUCCUUCAGAGUUAAUGUAUACAAAAAUGUUUAAAAAGCCGUAAAGCUGGGCUGGGCACGAUGGCUCACGCCUGUAAUCCCAGCACUUUGGGAGGCGGAGGUGGGUGGAGCACGAGGUCAGGAGAUUGAGACCAUCCCAGGUAACACAGUGAAACUCCGUCUCUAAUAAAAAUACAAAAAAAUUAGCCAGGCGUGGUGGCACGCACCUAUAGUCCCAGCUACUUGGGAGGCUGAGGCAGGAGAAUCAUUUGAACCCAGG
rnacentral:lncRNA from 1 species